CAGUCGCCGCGGUAAUACAGAGGGUGCAAGCGUUAAUCGGAAUUACUGGGCGUAAAGCGCGCGUAGGUGGUUUGUUAAGUUGGAUGUGAAAUCCCCGGGCUCAACCUGGGAACUGCAUCCAAAACUGGCAAGCUAGAGUAUGGUAGAGGGUGGUGGAAUUUCCUGUGUAGCGAUGAAAUGCGUAGAUAUAGGAAGGAACACCAGUGGCGAAGGCGACCACCUGGACUGAUACUGACACUGAGGUGCGAAAGCGUGGGGAGCAAACAGGAUUAGAUACCCCAGUAGUCCCUGUCUCUUAUAA
rnacentral:rRNA from 1 species